AUCUGAUGCAAGGUUAAGCAGAAAAUGUGGAGCCGUAGCGAAAGCGAGUCUGAAUAGGGCGUAUAGUAUUUGGUCGUAGACCCGAAACCAGGUGAUCUACCCAUGACCAGGCUGAAGUUCAGGUAACACUGAAUGGAGGGCCGAACCGACUUACGUUGAAAAGUGAGCGGAUGAGUUGUGGGUAGCGGAGAAAUUCCAAUCGAACCUGGAGAUAGCUGGUUCUCUCCGAAAUAGCUUUAGGGCUAGCCUUAAGUAAUGAUUAUUGGAGGUAGAGCACUGUUUGGACGAGGGGCCCUUAUCGGGUUACCGAAUUCAGACAAACUCCGAAUGCCAACCAAUUUUAUCUUAGGAGUUAGAACGCGGGUGAUAAGG
rnacentral:rRNA from 1 species